AGGACGAACGCUGGCGGCGUGCUUAACACAUGCAAGUCGAGCGAGGCCCUUCCUUCGGGAAGGUGACCUAGUGGCGAACGGGUGAGUAACACGUGGGCAACCUACCUCAGCUCUGGGAUAACACCGGGAAAACCGGUGCUAAUACCGGAUAUGUACCUAGGAACGACAUCGUUUCUUGGUAGGAAAGUUUUUCGGCUGAGGAUGGGCCCGCGGCCUAUCAGCUUGUUGGUGGGUAAUGGCCCACCAAGGCGACGACGGGUA
rnacentral:rRNA from 1 species